UACGGAGGGUGCAAGCGUUAUCCGGAUUCACUGGGUUUAAAGGGUGCGUAGGUGGGCAGGUAAGUCCGUGGUGAAAUCUCUGAGCUUAACUCAGAAACUGCCGUGGAUACUAUUUGUCUUGAAUGUUGUGGAGGUGAGCGGAAUAUGUCAUGUAGCGGUGAAAUGCUUAGAUAUGACAUAGAACACCAAUUGCGAAGGCAGCUCACUACACAAUUAUUUGACGCUGAGGCACGAAAAGCGUGGGGGAUCAAAACAGG
rnacentral:rRNA from 1 species